rnacentral:lncRNA from 1 species
CCACCUUCAAACGACUAAACGAUCAGACCUGUUUCGACUCGAAAAGCGAUGUUAAGGGGCGUGGCAAAAUGAUUAGCGGUCCUUCUAUUGGCUGUUCUCUUCGAAGACGUUGCUCGCUAUUGGCUGCGCUGAGGGAGUGGAAGAGCGUUAACCGUGUGCCUUUGAAGAAGGCAAGGCAGAGUGUAAUAUGACAGAUGAGGCUGCUCCGCACGCGACGUUCACCGUUUGCACAGAUGAAAACACUUCUCGAUAUACAAGAGUUAUUUCAUCAUUAGACGGGGAAGGAUAUUCCUGUGGACUGCUUUUAUUUCCAGCUGUGCUCAUUGAAUGAUUUGAUACCCUGCUUGGAUCUAUACGAAACCCAUGCUGACAUACACGCUUUAUUCUCUGCAUUCUUCACGACCGUUGUCUAGGCUUAGGGUGACUGUGUC